rnacentral:rRNA from 1 species
UGGGGAAUUUUGGACAAUGGGGGAAACCCUGAUCCAGCCAUCCCGCGUGUGCGAUGAAGGCCUUCGGGUUGUAAAGCACUUUUGGCAGGAAAGAAACGUCAUGGGUUAAUACCCCGUGAAACUGACGGUACCUGCAGAAUAAGCACCGGCUAACUACGUGCCGGCAGCCGCGGUAAUACGUAGGGUGCAAGCGUUAAUCGGAAUUACUGGGCGUAAAGCGUGCGCAGGCGGUUCGGAAAGAAAUAUGUGAAAUCCCAGAGCUCAACUUUGGAACUGCAUUUUUAACUACCGGGCUAGAGUGUGUCAGAGGGAGGUGGAAUUCCGCGUGUAGCAGUGAAAUGCGUAGAUAUGCGGAGGAACACCGAUGGCGAAGGCAGCCUCCUGGGAUAACACUGACGCUCAUGCACGAAAGCGUGGGGAGCAAACAGG